UUGUAAACUGAAUACUGAAAAUGAGACAAGGAAAAAGGUGCACAUCUUUGGCCACAUGUCCUUUGCAGGGGCUUCAGCUGUGUUUCCUAGACCGUCUUUACAAAUAGAGCUCCGAGAGGGAGGUCAGAGAACAGAAGCAUUAUCCACAAUACUAGGACGUGGAAACAGCCUAAUUGUCUGCCAAGAGAUGAACAGAAGACAUGGUGUGUAUACAGUGGAGUAUUACUCAGCCAUAAAAGAAGGAAGUCUUGCCAUUUGGAACAACAUGGAUGAACCUGGAGGACUUUAUACUAAGUGGAAUCAGCCAAACAGAAAGGCUGCCAAAUGCCUACGGGAAAGUCCUUUCCAAAGAGUGACCUCUAGUGGACAGGAGGAACCCUCCUCAGACAAGUGUCUUAACUCCUUUCAAAGCUUGUUUUCCACAAGAGCCUUCUGGAAUCUGGCUUAACAGGUGAUCCUGAGCUAGACUGCACACACACCUUUCCCGCUUGCCCCAGGACCCCACCUCCUGCCCAAACCAAAGAACAAGUUUGCCGGCCGCUGGCGUAAACAAGAUGUUCGAAGCGGGGAAGGUGAUCUGCGUCUGGAGGAUAGGGAUGAAGGCUUCUCCGAGGACAGACCCCGGCCACCCCGAGGCUGGGCAGGGUUGGCGUGGCCGUCCAGGAGGGCCGUCCAAGCAGGCCGAACAGCAGGAGGACAGACACACACGGAGUCUGAGAAGGAGGUGCCUGAGGCAAAGAGAAGUCUGCUUCAACCGAGGGGGCGGUUAACAGGCCACACUGUUAGGCAGUUCGGCUGGAACACGGCGGACAGGCCCCCCAAAUGCCAACCUGAGGACUCGUUCUGGAUGCGCAGGAGGCCGUGAAUGAGAACACUCAAAGGAGAAGGCACCAUGGCCGUCACGAGGUCCACCAGUUCCACUCGGUGGAUAAUGACAACUGGGCACAGGAUGGAUAAAAUCUGUCCUACCCAAGACCCCCUGGCUCAUAAGCCACAAGGUGGCCUUAAAUGCUGCCCUCCAGCUCACUGCUCUUUCCAGAGCCAUGGAGGAGAGAGGGAGAGGAGAAGGAAAGAGAGGAAGACCCAGGUGGCAAUGGUUGUGAUGAAAAAGGGAAAAAAAUCAAGGGAGCUCUAAGGCUGACUGGUUUCUGCUGGUCGAGAGAAGACAGCUGGGCAGGGGAGGUAAAGGCGUGCGGUCGGGAACAGCAGAUUCCUGCAGUGGAUGAAGAAGAUGCAGGAGACACACCAGAGCAGCAGCAGACACGUCCACAACCACCGCAGGCUCUGGGGGAGUGUGUGCCCCAGACUGGCCACAGCACCCUCCUCUCCCAGGCAAGCAAACCUCCCCCCCACACCCCGAGGAGUUAAGGAUACACAGAAUAUGCAGCGUGCACAUUUACUUGAUGGUGUCUAAUAGCAGCUGGCAUCACGGUUAUGGACGAAAAUUCAGCAGAUCAACAGGCUCAAGGGCUGAGUGGCAGGUCGGGCGCAGGGCAGCCUCGGAGUCACUGGCAGCUUUGUGGUGUUACAGGGUUUACGCCCUCAAUGGAGUGGCACAUGGAGCUGACCAAGCCCACCUGUACUAGUUCACCAGCUCGGAAGGGUAGUGGAGGUUAGAUGCGCCCAUCCACCCACAGGACACAGAGACCACAAAGCUGGUCCCCAGACCUUAACACGGGCAUUCCUAGUGGUGGGACUCGGGGUUGCUUGUACUUC